UUGCUUUGACAGCACAUAUGCCAGAAUUGGAAUGAUACAGAGAUUAGUAUGGCCCUUGUAAAAGGAUGACGUGUGACAUGCGAAUUUAUGAAGCACACUUUU
ensembl:snRNA U6 U6 spliceosomal RNA